CCCAGUGAAAGAGCCAACGGCUCUAUUUGUUUGAGGGGCUAUAAAUACGUGUUUGGCCGGCUUGGGGCUUAGACUCUUGGCAUUCUAACAUACUUGACAUCCUUGUGAGCCUAAGCAAACACCUCCCACUCAUCUCCUUCAUAGAUUAUACAUCUUUGUGAGAUUGGGAGUGAUUCCAAGUGCAUUUGCUUGAGUGAUUGCAUCUAGUGGCACUUGGGGAUCGUUUUGGCUGCGGUUUUCUUGUUACUCUUGGUGGUUGCCGCCACCUAGACGGCUUGGAGCAGCGGAGGAGGAUUGGCACGAGUUGGUGAUUGUUCGUGGCCAUCUCUUGGUGAUUGUGAGAGGUUUGUGCCUACCUCGGCGGAGAGCCAAAGGCAACAUUAGUGGAUUGCUCGUGUCAUUGAGCUACCUCACUUGUGG
rnacentral:lncRNA from 1 species